UGACGCUGGCGGCAUGCCUUACACAUGCAAGUCGAACGGUAACGCGGGGCAACCUGGCGACGAGUGGCGAACGGGUGAGUAAUAUAUCGGAACGUGCCCAGUCGUGGGGGAUAACUGCUCGAAAGAGCAGCUAAUACCGCAUACGACCUGAGGGUGAAAGCGGGGGAUCUUCGGACCUCGCGCGAUUGGAGCGGCCGAUAUCAGAUUAGGUAGUUGGUGGGGUAAAGGCCUACCAAGCCGACGAUCUGUAGCUGGUCUGAGAGGACGACCAGCCACACUGGGACUGAGACACGGCCCAGACUCCUACGGGAGGCAGCAGUGGGGAAUUUUGGACAAUGGGGGCAACCCUGAUCCAGCCAUGCCGCGUGCGGGAAGAAGGCCUUCGGGUUGUAAACCGCUUUUGUCAGGGAAGAAAUCCUUUGGGCUAAUAACUCGGAGGGAUGACGGUACCUGAAGAAUAAGCACCGGCUAACUACGUGCCAGCAGCCGCGGUAAUACGUAGGGUGCAAGCGUUAAUCGGAAUUACUGGGCGUAAAGCGUGCGCAGGCGGUUAUGCAAGACAGAUGUGAAAUCCCCGGGCUCAACCUGGGANCUGCAUUUGUGACUGCAUGGCUANAGUACCGUANAAGGGGGAUGGAAA
rnacentral:rRNA from 1 species